rnacentral:rRNA from 1 species
ACGCACGCUGGCGGCGUGCUUAACACAUGCAAGUCGAACGGAAAGGCCCUGCUUUUGUGGGGUGCUCGAGUGGCGAACGGGUGAGUAACACGUGAGUAACCUGCCCUUGACUUUGGGAUAACUUCAGGAAACUGGGGCUAAUACCGGAAAGGAGCUCCUGCUGCAUGGUGGGGGUUGGAAAGUUUCGGCGGUUGGGGAUGGACUCGCGGCUUAUCAGCUUGUUGGUGGGGUAGUGGCUUACCAAGGCUUUGACGGGUAGCCGGCCUGAGAGGGUGACCGGCCACAUUGGGACUGAGAUACGGCCCAGACUCCUACGGGAGGCAGCAGUGGGGAAUAUUGCACAAUGGGCGGAAGCCUGAUGCAGCAACGCCGCGUGCGGGAUGACGGCCUUCGGGUUGUAAACCGCUUUCGCCUGUGACGAAGCGUGAGUGACGGUAAUGGGUAAAGAAGCACCGGCUAACUACGUG